ACUGCCAUCAUCAUAAUAAUCAAUAACUAUUUAUUCCAUUUAGGGUUUGUACGUACGUUCGCAACAAUAACUUUGACUCACCACUAAUAACUAGGUUGCGACAACUCAUUCGCUGCCAGUCAGGAGUUUUCAAGGAAUCAACACGCGCUAUUUUUUGUACUAAUUAACGUUUACUUGUAAAAACAUAUUUCUGUUCCACAACGCGGUGGGACAUACUCGUCGUUAAUAUCUCCCAGGUCUUAUUGAUUUAAUUGACAGAACAUAACUAUUCAUACUCGCAUGGUUCAUGGCAAAUUGGUAGAAUAAACAAGGCGUGCCGGCUCCUUGUGGGGUCAUCCGUGACCUCUGACCUUUAUCAUCACCAUAACAUAAUUUAUAAUAGAUUACCACACAAUAUAACGAGGUAAUGACAUAAAACGCGAUGGCCACUGUCAUACGAGUACAUUCUGUGCACGCGCUAUUUGUACCUCAAUUCUGAGCUUACUAUGUUCAUGGACACCACACAGUGAUGAGGCGGGGAUCAGGUGAUAUCAUUUAAAGACGUAAUUUAGGAAUGGGAGUCAGGCAUAUUAAUGAAGUUUUCAUAGAAUCAAUUGACCUCACAGGAUCAUGUCGUACGUGCCCGAUGAUUAGUUACGUCUAGUCGUCCCGUGCCGAUGCCGAUGCCGAUAUGUCUGCUGUCAUGUGUCUGCUGCACACCAGCUCCGUGCUGCGUGAUGAUGACGUCGAUUGAUUCUUUUGAAUUUUUAUUGUAAGCAUUCACUGGUAUUUUAAUUUUAGAUCUUGUUUUAAAAGGUCAUGAAUACCGUUCGAAGAGCUGUGCACAGACGAGGGUUCUGUAGACAGAACGAACUGAACUACAAAUUUUGUAUGACUAAGUUUGUAUGACUAAGAUAUUACAUUAACUCGCUAAGCACUCAACGUCAUUGUUGAUGACUGUGAUUCCUGCCUGCAUCUUCUUCCUGCUUUUAGAACGUUGAGCACUCUGCUCUUCAAUGAAUAUUUGUUUCAUCCGGUUCCCUCGGAGCGUCGUUGUAGCUAGUGACGUUUAGAACUGAGAGCGGCUGGGGAGUGUGCGUGACGCGAGACAGCGCCGCCUCCGACUUAACCACUUCACAAAGAGGAGUGAACGCGUAAACAGUAGUAGGUACUUAUAUUGUUUCAGCUCUUAACCUUAUGAACACGAAACAACCAUGACCGCCAGCCAGCCACGAGCCACUGCAACAAACGAAAGAUCUCUGUCUACCCUGAGAAUCUACCUCUAGAGUUUUCCAUAAAGCUUAUGAUGACAGGUAAGCAACCUUAUUUCGAAUUGUCGAGAAGUGAUCAGGUCACGACGUGUGCCGGGGACAUGCGAUGACGACAUCACGAUUAGAGGCUGAGCAUGCGGGUCGCGUGCGAGCCGUGACCUCACGCGGCGACCUCGAGUCCGACCUCACAGACGCCACAAACGUAUAUUUUGAAUCUUUUCCUGUCAGUACACACCGAUGUAGUACUUCGCUGACUUAAUUUGGUAAACACAAAUCAAUGAUACAAAUCUUAACGAUUUGAGAGUGCGUGUUGAUUUGAGAGGACUGGGAUCCUCCGAGAUUUUGACUUGAUUGAAAUAGACGCCGCGCGACGAGGUAGAGAGUGCAACUAGCAGCAUCCUUUCGCCGAACCAGCUCGUGUGCACGGGAGGCGAGACAGAACGGACUCUCCUUGCGAUCAUCAGAGGGAAUAGAAGAAAUCUAAAAAGUAGUCCGUGAGCAUCAGCUGAGCUAGUGGCGCCUGCAGGACGUGAGCCCCGGCACUGUGGCGUCGCUCCGUGCGGUCACACCUCUCAUCCUCAAGGGCACGACUCUCUCACUAGAUUACUGAGCCUAAAACGACUCCAAAGUACUUAUUCUAACUGUAAAACGAGUUUAUAAAAUAAUGUAUCUACAAUAGCACACGGCGCACAGCACACAGUACGAUAACGCGUGAACUAUUUGAAUUAUCAACAUUCAUUAAAAUUUACUUCAAUAGAUACAUUUUAAUUAA